GGAGGGGUGUCCGAGUGGCCAAAGGAGGCGGGCUGUAAACCCGCUGGCGCAAGCCUACGUGGGUUCGAAUCCCACCCCCUCCA
rnacentral:tRNA from 1 species